GUGGAUUGUAAAUAUGCAAUUAGCAGCUGGAGUAGAAGUAAAAGCAGAAAAUGUCAACUGUCAAGCAGCUCCAUUGAAAGACACAUGAUGCUUCAAGCUAAGACAGAAAGACAAAAGCACCUACCAACAAGGAUGAAGGAUCCUAGGGAGGGGGUAUUGCCAACUGAGCAUCUGAGUGAUGUCAAGGUCCCAGCUCUGCUUCUUGGCCACUGUACCAGGGAUCAGCAGGCUGGGCAGUGGAUCCCUCCCUUCUCCAGAGCACCAUCUCCUCCAAUCCUGAUUCCUCUGUGCCACUCAGACAUUUGCACCACACCUCUUCUUCUGCCAGGAUACAGAAAUGCAGGGAAGAACAGGUAAGGAAAGGGUUAAAGAAGAAAAGACAUCUUUUCCAUGUCAC
rnacentral:lncRNA from 1 species